GAUGAACGCUAGCGGCGGGCUUAAUACAUGCAAGUCGAGGGGCAGCACGAUGUAGCAAUACAUUGGUGGCGACCGGCGGACGGGUGCGUAACACGUAUGCAACUUGCCCUAUACUAGGGAAUAGCCCGAAGAAAUUCGGAUUAAUACCCUAUAACAUCUGAAAAGGCAUCUUUUUGGGUUCAAAGCUCCGGCGGUAUAGGAUGGGCAUGCGGUCGAUUAGCUUGUUGGUGAGGUAAUAGCUCACCAAGGCGACGAUCGAUAGGGGGCCUGAGAGGGUGAUCCCCCACACUGGUACUGAGACACGGACCAGACUCCUACGGGAGGCAGCAGUAAGGAAUAUUGGUCAAUGGGCGCAAGCCUGAACCAGCCACGCCGCGUGAAGGAAGACGGCCCUAUGGGUUGUAAACUUCUUUUCUACGGGAAUAAACCUCAGGACGUGUCCUGAGCUGAAGGUAUCGUAGGAAUAAGGAUCGGCUAACUACGUGCCAGCAGCCGCGGUAAGAC
rnacentral:rRNA from 1 species